CCUACGGGAGGCUGCAGUGAGGAAUAUUGGUCAAUGGCCGGAAGGCUGAACCAGCCAAGCCGCGUGAAGGACGAAGGUGCCAAGCAUUGUAAACUUCUUUUAUUCGGGACGAAACAAAUGACGGUACCGAAUGAAUAAGCCACGGCUAACUACGUGCCAGCAGCCGCGGUAAUACGUAGGUGGCAAGCGUUAUCCGGAUUUACUGGGUGUAAAGGGCGUGUAGGCGGGAGAGCAAGUCAGACGUGAAAUUCCAGGGCUCAACCCUGGAACUGCGUUUGAAACUGUUCUUCUUGAGUGAUGGAGAGGCAGGCGGAAUUCCGGGGGUAGCGGUGAAAUGCGGAGAUAUACGGAGGAACACCAGUGGCGAAGGCGGCCUGCUGGACAUUAACUGACGCUGAGGCGCGAAAGCGUGGGGAGCAAACAGGAUUAGAUACCCGAGUAGUC
rnacentral:rRNA from 1 species